rnacentral:rRNA from 1 species
CUUACUAGGUCAGGACACAGUAAGGAUUGACAGAUUGAAAGCUCUUUCUUGAUUUUGUGGAUGGUGGUGCAUGGCCGUUUUUAGUUGGUGGAUUGAUUUGUCUGGUUAAUUCCGAAAACGAACGAGACCUUAACCUGUUAACUAUGUGAUGUUAAAAUUCGACUUCGGUCUCAAUAUUUGAUAUUAAAAAUUUAAUACUUCUUAAAGGAACAAUUCAAACUUUAAUUGAAUGGAAGUUUAAGGCAAAAAACAGGUCUGUGAUGCCCUUCGAUGUUCUGGGCUGCACGCGCGUUACACUGAUAUGUUCAAUGAGUUUUUAAAUUUCCUAGUCUGAAAAGACGUGGUAAACUUAGAAAACAUAUCGUGAUUGGAAUAGUAUUUUGUAAUUAUCGCACUUGAACGAGGAAUUCCUAGUAGGGGCAAUUCAUCAAAUUGCCCGAUUACGU